rnacentral:rRNA from 1 species
GAUGAACGCUGGCGGCGUGCCUAAUACAUGCAAGUCGAGCGAACAGACGAGGAGCUUGCUCCUCUGACGUUAGCGGCGGACGGGUGAGUAACACGUGGAUAACCUACCUAUAAGACUGGGAUAACUUCGGGAAGCCGGAGCUAAUACCGGAUAAUAUAUUGAACCGCAUGGUUCAAUAGUGAAAGACGGUUUUGCUGUCACUUAUAGAUGGAUCCGCGCCGCAUUAGCUAGUUGGUAAGGUAACGGCUUACCAAGGCAACGAUGCGUAGCCGACCUGAGAGGGUGAUCGGCCACACUGGAACUGAGACACGGUCCAGACUCCUACGGGAGGCAGCAGUAGGGAAUCUUCCGCAAUGGGCGAAAGCCUGACGGAGCAACGCCGCGUGAGUGAUGAAGGUCUUCGGAUCGUAAAACUCUGUUAUUAGGGAAGAACAAAUGUGUAAGUAACUAUGCACGUCUUGACGGUACCUAAUCAGAAAGCCACGGCUAACUACGUG